GAGUGGGGGGGAUCCAGGCCUGGAGGGAGGCUGGGCAGGUGCCGAGGGCUGUGCCGACAGCGCUGAAAUCGAAAACCCUCGCCACUCAUGAAGAACUGAGGCAAAAGGAUCACAGAUGCUGCUCGGGGCCAGCCCUAUACUCCCUCCAGUGCCUGGUCUCCGGUGGACCCGCGGGGCUCUGCAGUUCUCUGGCGGCCGCGCCUUGUAAGCGCUAAGCCGGGAGGAGGGCGCAGGCAGGGCGCACAGCUCUGAGCGCGACCCUACCCGGCUCGGGCCCGCAGCAACCCCGACUGUCCGAGAGCCUCUCCCCAAGCAAGGCUCUGCGCCGCCCUCUGAGCCCACCUCCUGGCCACAACGCUGCCUGCGCUUCUCCAGCCCAGGCCGGAAGCCCUAUGCUGCCUCCCGAAGCCGUGAUCAGAGGAGAAUCGCCAGGCUGAGGGGGAAGCAAGGAACAUAUGGACCCAAGUAGGAUCCUGAAAGAAUUUCGAGAAGCUCCGAGCCCAAAUCAUACAGGCCCUAAGUAUUGGUCAAUCACCAGGAGUGAAACAGAAACUUAGACCACACA
rnacentral:lncRNA from 1 species